UUGAACGCUGGCGGAAUGCUUUACACAUGCAAGUCGAACGGCAGCACGGGGGCAACCCUGGUGGCGAGUGGCGAACGGGUGAGUAAUACAUCGGAACGUGCCCGGUCGUGGGGGAUAACGUAGCGAAAGUUACGCUAAUACCGCAUACGAUCUGAGGAUGAAAGCGGGGGACCUUCGGGCCUCGCGCGAUCGGAGCGGCCGAUGUCAGAUUAGGUAGUUGGUGGGGUAAAGGCCUACCAAGCCGACGAUCUGUAGCUGGUCUGAGAGGACGACCAGCCACACUGGGACUGAGACACGGCCCAGACUCCUACGGGAGGCAGCAGUGGGGAAUUUUGGACAAUGGGCGCAAGCCUGAUCCAGCCAUUCCGCGUGCAGGACGAAGGCCUUCGGGUUGUAAACUGCUUUUGUAUGGAACGAAAAGGCUCUGGCUAAUACCUGGGGCUCAUGACGGUACCGGAAGAAUAAGCACCGGCUAACUACGUG
rnacentral:rRNA from 1 species